rnacentral:sRNA from 1 species
GUAAAAACAAGCUGCGUGCGGAAAUCCUUUGCGUAUGCAAAGAUUGGAGCGAAUAGCCGGAAAUGUG